rnacentral:rRNA from 1 species
GCAAGUCGAGGGGUAGUAAUCUUCGGAUAAUGAGACCGGCGCACGGGUGCGUAACGCGUAUGCAAUCUACCUUGUACAGAGGGAUAGCCCAGAGAAAUUUGGAUUAAUACCUCAUAGUAUAUUUGAAUCGCAUGGUUUAAAUAUUAAAGAUUUAUCGGUACAAGAUGAGCAUGCGUCCCAUUAGUUAGUUGGUAAGGUAACGGCUUACCAAGACAAUGAUGGGUAGGGGUCCUGAGAGGGAGAUC